UGUAAGCCUGAACACCCCAUCUCCCCCUCCCUGGAGUCUGUGAAGUUGACGUUCGGCUGACUUCCCAAAGCUGGGGAACCAGAGCUAACAAUCUGGGAUCUGCCAUUCUGUGUCAAACACGAGCUGCUCUGCUCUGAAUCCAUCUUGCAACUUGUUUGUGGCAUGAGGAAAGAUGAUGGUGACAAUCCUCGAGAUUGUCUAAUGAGUGACAAUGGCAAAGGGCGGGAAGUGCUUAUUUGAGCAUCUGCUGUCGGCCUGGGCAAACAUCCGUGAAGUGUAUGGAGUGGAUGAUAUCCUGGAAGCUGGAGCUCGGUUUCAUUGUUCCGCAUGGGAAAAACGCAUGUCCAUUCGGGAGGAAGGGAGCUGGGAAGGAAGAUAAUAUGACCAAAAGAGCAACUUGACUCUCCCGGGUGAUGGGUGUCAAUCUCUCUCUGGCGCCUCUACCGGUGACGGCGAGAACACCGAGGCGCAGUGGUGACGCCUAUUGAAUGAUUUGCUCUGGGACUCGAUGCCAUCAAGUAUUCGUAGGAAAUGGGUGUUCGACGUAUUGGUCGUUUGCACGGCCUUUUUUUUUACUGGUUCCAAGUUUGCCUCUCAACUCAACAAGAAGCUAAUGUAUGAAAUCACAGCCUGGAGUCAGACAUACCUGUGUCGGCCUUUGCUGUAGCCGCGGGCUGUUUGCGAGCACCUUGCUGUAUGGCAAUAACAGGCGGAUGAGGUGACAUGAUUACACAAACGGGCAAUAAAAAGCGAGUGCUCUGUGUGAGGUGACCGUGUGAAGGGCUGGGAUGUGUCUGGGAUUCGAUUACAAGGGUUUCUGGAGACCCGGAGCAGUGUAGGACGACUGGUCACGCCCCAAGGUCACUCAGGGAGUCGCGAGGCGUUCCGAUCUGCCCUUUACCCACAUGAGUGCCGAUUAAUGCGCGAUUUGUUUCUAAAUAGAUUCGUUCCGUUUCCAAUUGAAAUAUUAAACCCCAUCAGCUUCCCGAGGAUCCGGUUGAACCGCGAGCAAUGUGACGUUUUCGGGGCUCGGGCGCGUCUGUGACAAACGGAAUAUGAUUGAGAUGUUUCCUGAGAACUGAUUCGGGUCCCGAGCCCACUUUAUGUGGCCCACUUCUACCACGUGGUUUGGUAAUUGAAUACCAUGAUGCCGAUUAUAUUACAGAACCUCACAGAUCUGAACAAUGAGUAAUGUUAUAGGAGGCUUGUGCUGAACAGUACACAUAGCGUGCAGGUUAAUUACACCGCGUUACCCCUCCUCCCAACACAAUUCAUUGCAGAACAAUAGGAAUAAGGCGAACAUAGACUGAAAGUACAUUGUGGUAUGGCGUGUUGCUGCUGUUGUGUUGAGUUCUCUGUGUGACGGUUAACAAUUUACAUCAGCUCGACUUUAAAGCUUAAUUUACAGGCAACGUCCCCUCGUUUCACAGUCUUACAAACCAUCGCGGUUUGUCUAAUAACAUUGUACAGUAUGAUAAGGCGCUGCACAGGGCUGACCUGGGCGACAGAUCCUGCAGUAAUGCCAGGAGACACAGAAGCAGCUAUUUUUAUUAUAUUCUUUAAACACGAAAUUGCACCUAGUCAUAACAUUUGAGACCGUUUUGUUUUAAAAUAUAAGAUGGCGCCCAAAUCGUGGAAAAUUCUAGAAUCCAGUGUUAAUUUGGCGGUGGGUUUUCAGAACCUGAGGGGUGGGAACUUGCUUCCAGAUCAAAACGGAAUUUUCCCAAAUUCUUGAAGGCCUUCAAUUUUAAGACCAAUAAUAUGCCAGAUCAAGGAGAGACAAUGUGUAUUUUGCUGAAAUAUAUUGUACACAGGAGGUUAGAGCAUUGCUGAGCACUUGAUUACUGUACAUAGUAAAUACACCCCUCCCCAUCGUGGAUCCGGAAUUUUAGAAAAUGAUAUAUGUACGUUUAAAACAAAACGAAUGCUCUCUUACUUACCGGUUAAAGUGUGUAAAGUAUUGGUGUAAAAUAAUUUUCUCCUGUUAUAUACCAAUAUCGUGUAAUAAAUGUACAU